rnacentral:miRNA from 1 species
AGCCAACAACAUCAGUUCUAA